GCCAUUGAUGACUUAUUUAUGGUAUCAACUGAAUUAAAAUGUUGAAAGUUUUUUUGAACUAGGACGGUCUGAGGC